GACGAAGGGGGCUAGCGUUGUUCGGAAUUACUGGGCGUAAAGCGCGUGUAGGCGGUUGCCCAAGUCGGGUGUGAAAGCCUUGAGCUCAACUCAAGAAAUGCACUCGGUACUGGGUGACUAGAGGACCGGAGAGGAUAGUGGAAUUCCCAGUGUAGUGGUGAAAUACGUAGAGAUUGGGAAGAACACCAGUGGCGAAGGCGGCUAUCUGGACGGUUUCUGACGCUAAGGUGCGAAAGCGUGGGGAGCAAACAGG
rnacentral:rRNA from 1 species